UUAGUGAAUGCAGGUUUUCAUCUAAUUAGUGUUAGCAGACAUUGAUCAUCAAUGUUUCUUGUAAACAAUUCUCUCUAUUUUGCUUGCCAUCAAAUUUUGCUUUAGCUCUACUGCCUCACCGAGAACCAUGAGUGGGAGCAUGACUAGUUCAAUUUCAUACAUCACGUCAUUAUUCCGAAGGCCUAUUCGUGUUCCAACCAACCGUCGCCUUCAUCGGUACUAAGCCAACCAACAUUUACAUAACUGAACGCCAUCGCUUCAUCAAAGUAUAGAUUGUUACCAAAUGUAUAAUUGAUUGCCAACGGUAAACAAAUUAGUCCUGAUCUUCACCUUUUCUUCCGCCUCUCCAUCUUGACCUCAUCGUCUUCAAGCUGUUCGUCUUCGUCUCGCCAUCUUCAAGCUGGUCGUCUUCGCCUCGCCGUCUUCAAGCUGGUCGUCUUCGCCUCGCCGUCUUCAAGCUGGUCGUCUUUGCCUCGCCGUUUUCGUCUGACCUUCUCCAUCUCAUCGCUUUUGCCGCAUGGUCUUGGAUCUCGUCUGUCUUCGCUUCAUCGCCGUCAUCGUGGACCUUCACGUUUUUAGUAUUUUAUUUGUUUGUUUUUUAUUGUUGUAUAGUGGAUGUCUAAAGUUAACCCGUUGGCUGCCACCCAUUUUGCUCCCCUUUUUUUUUAGUUGUAGGGACUGGCGGCGCUGUUCUGCCCCAUGGUUGAUCACCCGUGGGGUGGGGCAGUCGCCUUGCGCCUUAGGGCGCCGUAGGCAAUGCACCAGUAGGGACUUCCCCUUGUCGAUGCGAUGGUGGAGUACCUGGGGUGUGCAUUCCCGUAAAGGUCUCCAUCGUCAAGUCAGCCCGGACUUGUCUUCGGACAAGUCCCCCUUUCAUCGGAUCCCUCUGAAACGAUGCGUAGCGAUUGUAGAAAAACAACCUACGGGUUGUAAUGGCUUGGCAGCCAACGGGUUAACUUAAGUGUUUGUAUGCAUGUAUGUAUUGUAUAACGUGUAAUGUAUAUAUUGAAUAAUAUGUAAUGUAAAACAGUGGUGGAAUUGUGGGUGGAGGUGGGAUAAUACAAAACCAAUUCCAUUUA